UACGUAGGUGACCAGCGUUGUCCGGAUUCAUUGGGCGUAAAGAGCGUGUAGGCGGCCAGGUAGGUCGGUUGUGAAAACUGGAGGCUCAACCUUCAGAGGUCGACCGAAACCAUCUGGCUAGAGUCCGGGAGAGGAGAGUGGAAUUCCUGGUGUAGCGGUGAAAUGCGCAGAUAUCAGGAAGAACACCCGUGGCGAAAGCGGCUCUCUGGAACGGUACUGACGCUGAGACGCGAAAGCGUGGGGAGCGAACAGG
rnacentral:rRNA from 1 species